rnacentral:rRNA from 1 species
AGAGUGAACGCUGGCGGUAGGCCUAACACAUGCAAGUCGAACGGCAGCACGGUAAGAGCUUGCUCUUAUGGGUGGCGAGUGGCGGACGGGUGAGGAAUACAUCGGAAUCUACCUUUUGGUGGGGGAUAACGUAGGGAAACUUACGCUAAUACCGCAUACGCCCUUCGGGGGAAAGCCGGGGACCAGCAAUGGCCUGGCGCUGAUAGAUGAGCCGAUGUCGGAUUAGCUAGUUGGUGAGGUAAUGGCUCACCAAGGCGACGAUCCGUAGCUGGUCUGAGAGGAUGAUCAGCCACACUGGAACUGAGACACGGUCCAGACUCCUACGGGAGCAGCAGUGGGGAAUAUGGACAAGUGGGCGCAAGCCUGAUCCAGCCAUACCGCGUGGUGAAAGAACGGCCUUCGGUUGUAAAGUCCCGUUUUAGUUAGGGAAAGAAAGCUAGUUACGGUUAAUAACCCGGUUGUUACGUGACGUACCAAAGAAUAAGCACGGCUAAGUUCGUGCCAGCAGCCGUACG